GCUAUAGCUCAGUUGGUAGAGCCCCGGAUUGUGAUUCCGGUUGUCGUGGGUUCAAGUCCCAUUAGC
rnacentral:tRNA from 4 species